rnacentral:misc_RNA from 1 species
AAGUCGUAACAAGGUUUCCGUAGGUGAACCUGCGGAAGGAUCAUUCAAAAUUGAAAAAAUGUCACAUAAGUGGGGCGAUCUGGUUUACACUGAUGUUUAUUCUGGUGUACUUCGGGACCCUGCUAGUGGUACAAUUUGUGAAAAUUGUGCACCUUUGUGCAAAGUAAAUAUCUUACUCAACUUCAUAACUUGACUGAAAAUAUUUCAUUAUUUUAAUUGAACAUUGAUUUUGACUUUUAUGUUAUUUUCAAUAAGUACAUUAUAUUUGAAUUUUUAUACAACUUUUAACAAUGGAUCUCUUGGCUCUC